GCGUCAGUAGUCCAGGGGUAGGAUGCAACCCUCCCAAGGUUGCGACCCGGGUUCGAGUCCCGGCUGACGCN
rfam:Eimeria brunetti, Houghton, WGS project CBTX01000000 data, contig: Ebh_contig644_2